AAGUACCCGCGUUAGGGAUUGAUGCGGCAUCCUUUUUUGUGCGCGCCUUAUGUUUGCAAAUGAAGACGCGCCUUAUGGUUUAAGACUGUUUUAUAGUUUUUGGCUAGGUGUAUUGUGCACAAUAAAAGAUAUAGCGGAAAGCCCGACCCUUG
rnacentral:sRNA from 2 species